rnacentral:rRNA from 1 species
UACGUAGGCAGCGAGCGUUGUUCGGAGUUACUGGGCGUAAAGAGUGCGUAGGCGGUUUCUAAGUUUGGUGUGAAAUCUCCCGGCUCAACUGGGAGGGUGCGCCGAAGACUGGAAGGCUUGAGUAUGGGAGAGGUAAGCGGAAUUCCUGGUGUAGCGGUGAAAUGCGUAGAUAUCAGGAGGAACACCUGCGGUGUAGACGGCUUACUGGACCAUAACUGACGCUGAGGCACGAAAGCGUGGGUAGCAAACAGG